rnacentral:misc_RNA from 1 species
CUAAAACUAGGCAAUGCAUCAUAAGAAGCUGCAACGAGAUUCCCAUUAAACUUUAAACUCCCAUCUCGAACAAAUUUAUCCCCCGUUGAAGCUGAAACAGAAUAAGGAGCUGAAAUGACAGUAUUAGCUGAUACCCCAACCUUUUUACCUCCUCCAUCACUUUUCUUUGAACUAGUUGAACCAGCCGUUUUCGACUGCUUCUUCUUACCAAAUAUCUGCUUGAUCAUAUUUCUCUUUAACCACCCACUUUAUACAAACAACUAAAUAUUCAACAGUAAGAACAAGUAAAACUUAAUAAAGUCAUCAAACUAAAAUCAAG